UAAAUGCCUACUUCAAAGUCUCUACGCUUCCUAUGUAGAUCGGCGUAUUUCUUUUGUCGAUCCUGAGCUACACCUAAUCGAGCUUUUAUGGUUUUAACAAUUUCUAUUGUCUGUUGAACUAUCUCUGACCCUAAAAGUUUGUGUUCGCUUACUUCAUCUCAGCACAACGUGGUUUUGCAUUUUCGUCCAAAAAAUAGACAUUACAUCUAAAA
rnacentral:lncRNA from 1 species